GAAAUUAAAUAAAUUAUAGACGGGAAUUAAUAUUUAUAAAAAUAAUAUCGAUAAAAUGGGUAUCGAUAAUUACUAAAAUGGAAAUUAGACGAAAAAUUGAGGAAAAGUGCAAGUUAGCUUAAAAGUGGAAUUUGAGCGUUUUUGGCCAAAAUUGCCAAAAUAAAUCAUCAGAAGAUGAAAUUCUAAGAUAUGGGACUAAUAUUAUUUAUUUGAAAAUAAAUAAUAUGAAAUUUAUCGGAUUUAAAAGAUUUAGCGUUCGAUAGGUAAAAUUUAGCAAUUUUUAAGUUAGAAUUGCGAAAGGUUUAAGUCAAUUUCUUUGAGGAUUAAAGAGGGACUUUUACCUUAAUUAUAAAAGGGUAAGGGAAUGAUUUUAAACUCAGCAAACCAUUUAUUCUCAGCUGAAGCAAAUCAGCCAUGGUCACCUUCAUCAACAUUCAACAUGUAGAAAAUUUCCUAAGGCCAUAUCUUUUUCGAUUUAAGUCCGAUUGAGGCGAUUCUUGCGGCAACGGAACGAGUAAAGGAUCCUCUACCAAUCUAUCUCAUCAAUUUAAGCUUAUAGAUUCUUCGUUUCAUAUCGGAAUUGGACGAUUCUUGCGGCUACGGAACGGGGACGGAAAACUCUACACAUAUGUCCCAGAAAAUUGAGACGCAUCGAUGGACUUCGAAAGUGACAUGUUUGGCUUAGUGGGGUUCGACUAUUAUUUUAAUAUCAUGAUUUGGAUAGCGAAUUCUUGUUUUCUUUCAGGUUUAUUAUGUGGUGAUGUGGUCGAGUUCCAUCCAUUGUUCUGGAAGUCUCAGUUAUGAAAGUUUCUAUCCUUCUUAGAGCUGCAGUAGUUAUAUUAGUAGAUUAAUUCGAUAGUUGACAGUUUAUGUUUUUCAUGUGCUGUGGCAUAGAGAUGUAUUUUCGGAAAUUGGUUUAUCCACACGUUUUGUAUUAAUUACAUGAUAUUUUGCACAAGGCGGUUUGUGUUUUUAACAGGUGCCAGUAGCACAAUUUUCAAACGUUAUAUUGUCGAUUUUUUUUUUUAAAAUUUAAGAUUGUUGUUUUGCGAAAAAUUUAUAGUGAAUUUCAGGCUUGCUACGGGAUUUGGAACUACAAUUCCCAUUCCCUAGCGCCGGUCGCGGCCCUCGAUUUUGGAUCGUGACAUAUGUACAUCGAAAUCAAAAUCAUUUGUUAGGUAUUUAAUUAUAGAUUUUAUCAACAAAUAAUAAUAUAGUAAAAUAAAUAAAUAACACAAGAGAUUUACGUGGUUCGGCAUUAAAACGGUACAUCCACGGGCGAAAAAAUCGAGUUAUCCACUAAUCAUCAAAAUGAGUACAAGAUUGGUGGAGAAUCACCAAAAUAGAGAACAUCUCUAGUAAAUAUGCCCUUAGAUGAAAAAACUCAUAAAAUGUUUAACUCUCUAUAAGAAGUAACCCAAAAGAAUUGAGAUUAACUUAUAUUCCAAACAACGCACCCAACCCUUUUUCCUUUAUUCACAUCAAUGUCUAUAUUAUGUGUUCGGUUUUUUUCUACCAUACUAAAAGAUGAAAAAGGUAUGAUAUUUACAGUGUGUAAAUAAUCUAUAUGGCAUUAGGAGUAUUAAUCCUAGUUUGAUUAUACUUUCGAAUUAUCCAAAGAUAACAAAGUUAUCCUUUAUCCAGAUACUCCACAAUAGAAUCCUAAUACAAAUUAGAAUUAGAAUUUUAAACAUAUUCCAACACCCUUAUUCUUUUUGUGCUUGACAAAUUGGGGAGAUGUCUCUGGCUUAUAUUGUUAAUCAUUUUUCGAAAAUUUCUUGCUUAUGCCUUAAAUUAUUUUUUUAUCUUAUGUGCAUAAAGUGAGGGGAAGUCAAAAUCAAUUUGUCUCAUACUUAACUUAGUCAUUUUAGUAUGUUGAUUGUCAAACUCAAAAAGGGGAAGAACGUUGGACCUUUAUCUUUUUAUACUCCUUGAUUUUGACUUUGACAAUCAAUUAUGAGUAUUUUAAUAUAUUUUUAUAAGUAUGUACGAACCCAUAGGAACAAUCGAGAGUCAAUUUGGAGCCUUCUAGCGAGAAUCGAGUUUUCAAGAUUUCAAGAUUUCUAGAGGAUUUUCGGACCCGCAAAAAUCAUCAUUCAAGAGCACGACCUAGACCUCGCAGGCGCGAGCCAAUGUUGUCACAAGAGCGACCCACGUCAGACGUGAAACCCUAACUUCUGAAGGUUUGUAAUGGGCUCGAAGAACAUGUCACGGGCGCGAUCUUGAUGACUGUUGGAUGCCUAACUGAUAUAUUUGAAGACCCCCCCCCCCCUAUUAAGUGGCGACAUAUGACACUAGCCGUUGGAGUUUUUGAUGAAUGACAGAAGUCACGGGUGCGACUCCCUUGGUAGCGGACGUGACAUACCACCUGACAAUAAAAGUUGUUUUGUUUGUUUGUGCUUUGCUUGUAGUUUGUAAUGGGUAUAAUUACAAACCUAUUUGCAAUGUUUUAAGGUUAAUGAUGUACAAAUCCUGAAACAACAAACCUAUCAUCUUUAAAUUACUUUUUUUUCCUGUAGUUUUGUAGUAAGUUUGUAAACUUCUAAAUCAUUGUAAGUUACAGUUUAGUUUUGAGAAAACUCAACUUUUGUAAGUUAGAGAUUAGUUUUGAAAAAUCUCAUAGUUGAUGUUUAGCUAUAAAACACUAAGUUUGGAGUUAGCUUAGAAAACUCUUUGUGAAUCUCAUUUAGUGGAUUUUAAAUUUUAAUCUUUGAUAGAGUAGUGGAGUAGGAUCGACUUGUGAUCCGAACCACUCUAAAUUUCUUGUGUCAAA